CAUUCUUAUUUCUAGGCAACGUUGCCAGUUCAACUAAAAUAUUAUAUCAAACCAGGUAAAAGCAGGACUGUGCGGCAGACCGCAAGUUUUUAGUAGGUUUACUAAAAAUUAAAACAACAUCGAGCAUUCUCGAUUAGUCAGUCACAUUUAUUUAAACAUGCAUCCUAAAAAAUUCUCUUAUUAAUUUUGUAAUGUUCCAUCAUCUCAAUUAAAUAUGACAUGAAUGACAGAUAAUAACUCUAGACAUGACAUUAAAUUAUUAUGUUUAAUUUAAAAUCGAGAAAUAUGAAGGGUUUCGCGUAAAGUUGUGGGAUACUAAUAAAUAAAACACACUGGAAAAAUUAAAAUUUGAAAUUAAUACAAAAUUAAUAACUUUUACAGUAAACAAUUGUGAAACUUAAAUAUUAUGUAUUACAAUAAAAUUCCAAACGGCUGAAAUAUUAAGCACAUAGGUGGAAAAUGUCGCCUGUCAAAAUGUUCAAUGUGUUUUAUUAAAUGUAUUCAUUUUUUUUUCGAAUCAUGAGAA
rnacentral:lncRNA from 1 species